UGGCUCAGAGUGAACGCUAGCGGCGUGGUUAAGACAUGCAAGUCGAACGAUGAAGCCCAGCUUGCUGGGCGGAUUAGUGGCAUACGGGUGCGUAACACGUGAGCAACCUGCCUUGAAGUGGGGAAUAGCCCGGGGAAACCCGGAUUAAUACCGCACGUGGUCUCUUUUCGCAUGAAAAGACGACUAAAGUUUGUAAUGACUCUUCAAGAGGGGCUCGCGGCCUAUCAGCUUGUUGGUGAGGUAAAGGCUCACCAAGGCAAAGACGGGUAGCUGGUCUGAGAGGAUGAUCAGCCACACUGGAACUGAGAUACGGUCCAGACACCUACGGGUGGCAGCAGUUUCGAAUCAUUCACAAUGGGGGAAACCCUGAUGGUGCAACGCCGCGUGGAGGAUGACGGCCUUCGGGUUGUAAACUCCUGUCACCAAGGAACAAACGGCAGGUUCAUAGCCUGUCCUGAGUUAACUUGGAGAGGAAGAGGUGGCUAACUCCGUGCCAGCAGCCGCGGUAAUACGGAGACCUCGAGCGUUACUCGGAUUCACUGGGCGUAAAGAGUAUGUAGGCUGUUUGGUAUGUCAGGUGUGAAAGCCCGAAGCUCAACUUCGGAAUUGCGCCUGAAACUACCGGACUUGAGGCCUGGAGAGGGGAGUGGAAUUCCUGGUGUAGCGGUGAAAUGCGUAGAUAUCAGGAGGAACACCAAUGGCGAAGGCAGCUCCCUGGACAGGUUCUGACGCUGAGAUACGAAAGCGUGGGUAGCGAAAGGGAUUAGAUACCCUGGUAGUCCACGCCGUAAACUUUGCUCACUCGCUGUUGGCGAUAGACAGUCAGCGGCCAAGGGAAACCGAUAAGUGAGCCACCUGGGGAGUACGGCCGCAAGGUUGAAACUCAAAGGAAUUGACGGGGGCCCGCACAAGCGGUGGAACAUGUGGUUUAAUUCGAUGAUACGCGAGGAACCUUACCUGGGCUUAAAUGUGAAGUGCAUUGAUUGGAAACAAUCAUUUCCUUCGGGACCCUUUACAAGGUGCUGCAUGGUUGUCGUCAGCUCGUGCCGUGAGGUGUCGGGUUAAGUCCCAUAACGAGCGCAACCCCUAUUGUUAGUUACCAGCGCGUGAUGGCGGGGACUCUAGCGAAACUGCCGGUGUAAACCGCGAGGAAGGUGGGGAUGACGUCAAAUCAGCACGGCCCUUAUGUCCAGGGCUACACACGUGUUACAAUGGCCGGUACAGCGGGCAGCUAGGCAGCGAUGUCAUGCUAAUCCCGAAAGCCGGUCCCAGUUCGGAUUGGAGUCUGCAACCCGACUCCAUGAAGGUGGAAUCGCUAGUAAUCGCGCAUCAGCCAUGGCGCGGUGAUACGUUCCCGGGCCUUGUACACACCGCCCGUCAAGCCAUGGAAGUCUGGGGUGCCUGAAGGCCGUAAC
rnacentral:rRNA from 1 species